UACGUAGGGGGCAAGCGUUGUCCGGAAUCAUUGGGCGUAAAGCGCGUGUAGGCGGCUUGGUAAGUCCGCUCUGAAAGCCCGGGGCUCAACCCCGGGAGGCGGGUGGAUACUGUCAAGCUCGAGUCCGGAAGAGGCGAGUGGAAUUCCCAGUGUAGCGGUGAAAUGCGUAGAGAUGUGGAGGAACACCGAUGGCGAAGGCAGCCUCCUGGGCCAGCACUGACGCUCAUGCACGAAAGCGUGGGGAGCAAACAGG
rnacentral:rRNA from 1 species